UUUUAACAUUUUUCGUACAAAUUUUAAUAACGAAAACAGGCGUAACGUAGGAAGAAGUAUCAUUCUCAAGUUUUAUAAUUCACUUUCCAAAGAGACAUGGAAUCAUUUUAAAAAGUUCUUGUGCUCAAAAAUUUAACAAGAAGCAAAACAAAAGCAAGAUUUAACUGAUUGUGAGCACUUAAAGCCAGGAGUUGUGUGACAUCAUUUAGGCUUCUGACAUACCAAUAGAGCAGCUAUGUGACAUCUAUGUAUGAAAAUUACUUUGUAUGAAUGAAAAUCAACUCAAUGGUUAUCUGCUGUACACACCUUUCUUUAGAAAAUGUUGAUAUUGAACUUUGUCACUGCAAUCUUUUAACAAACAUUUCCACUAUGACAAAGAGCAUGCAACAUUUUCUUCUAUAAAUGGUCAGUGAACUACUUUACUUUACUUUUAUAUUCUUGGGACCAUUUUAAUUUUAAAUUUUGUAAAAAUUGGCAUUCGGAGUUUGAUUUGGUUUGAAGUUCAUUUUGGAUUAAUUAGCCCUAUGUUAAUUAAACACAAUAAAAUUAGGUUCAAAUUUUCUUUAUCAUAUUUAAUGUAAUAGAGAUAACUGUAAGAACAGAUUAUAAAGUAUGAAUUAUUGUAAAAUUUAUAUUUUAAAUAAA
rnacentral:lncRNA from 1 species